GACGAACGCUGGCGGCGUGCUUAACACAUGCAAGUCGAACGGAAAGGCCCUGCUUUUGUGGGGUGCUCGAGUUGCGAACUGGUGAGUAACCCGUGAGUACCCUGCCCUUGCCUUUGGGAUAUCUUCAGGACACUGGGGCUAAUCCCGGCUAGGAGUUCCUGCUUCAUGGUGGGGGUUGGUUAGUUUCGGUGGUUGGGGAUGGACUCGCGGCCUAUCAGCUUGUUGGUGGGGUAGUGUCUUACCAAGGCUUUGACGGGUAGCCGGCCUGAGAGGGUGACCGGCCACAUUGGGACUGAGAUACGGCCCAGACUCCUACGGGAGGCAGGAGUGGGGAAGAUUACACUAUGGGCGGAAGCCAGAUGCAGCAACGCCGCGUGCGGGAUGAGGGCCAGCGGGUUGGAUACCACUUUCGCCUUUGACGAGGCGAGAGUGACGGUAAUGGGUGAAGAAGCACCGGCUAACUACGUG
rnacentral:rRNA from 1 species